AUUGAACGCUGGCGGCAUGCCUUACACAUGCAAGUCGAACGGCAGCACGGGAGCAAUCCUGGUGGCGAGUGGCGAACGGGUGAGUAAUAUAUCGGAACGUGCCCAGUCGUGGGGGAUAACGUAGCGAAAGCUACGCUAAUACCGCAUACGAUCUAUGGAUGAAAGCGGGGGAUCGCAAGACCUCGCGCGAUUGGAGCGGCCGAUAUCAGAUUAGGUAGUUGGUGAGGUAAAGGCUCACCAAGCCGACGAUCUGUAGCUGGUCUGAGAGGACGACCAGCCACACUGGGACUGAGACACGGCCCAGACUCCUACGGGAGGCAGCAGUGGGGAAUUUGGACAAUGGGCGCAAGCCUGAUCCAGCAAUGCCGCGUGCAGGAUGAAGGCCUUCGGGUUGUAAACUGCUUUUGUACGGAACGAAACGGUGAGCUCUAAUACAGUUUGCUAAUGACGGUACCGUAAGAAUAAGCACCGGCUAACUACGUGCCAGCAGCCGCCGUAAAAC
rnacentral:rRNA from 1 species